rnacentral:lncRNA from 10 species
GGCGUAUGAUGGGGGGCGGGGGUGUGAUGUGUGUGUUGUGUGGGUGUUGUGUGUCUUUAUGAUAUGUGUGUGUACACCUGUGUUGUGUUGUGUGUGUAUUGUAUGUGUUCUGUGUGUCUGUUGUGGUGUGUGUUGUGUGUGUGUGAUGUGUCUGUUGUGUGGUGUUUGUAUUGGUGUUGUAUGGUGUGUGGUGUGUGUGUGUCUGUGUGUGAUGUGUCUGUUGUGUAGUGUGUAUGUAUGGGGUGGUGUGUGAUGUGUGUGUCUGUUGUGUGGUGUGUGUAUGAUGUAUGUCCGUUGUGUGGUGUGUGGUGUGUCUGUUGUGUAGUGUGUGUAUAUGGGGUGGUGUGUGGGGUGUGUGUGGUGUACGUGUGUUUGUUGUGUGGUGUGUCUGUUGCAUGAUAUGUGUAUGGGGUGGUUGUGGUGUGUGUCUGUUGUUUGGUGUGUGUGUGUGUGUGUGUGUGUCUGGGGGGUUGUGUGCUAUAUGAUGUGGGGAAUGGACAUUGACUCAGUGUGUGGUGUUGUCUGUUGUGUGUUGUGGUGUGUGUAUCUGUUGCGUGUUGUGUGGUGUGUGGUGCGUGUGUGUGUCUGGGGGGUUGUGUGCUAUAUGAUGUGGGGAAUGGACAUUGACUCAGUGUGUGGUGUUGUCUGUUGUGUGUUGUGUGUGUGUGUCUGGGGGGUUGUGUGCUAUAUGAUGUGGGGACAUUGACUCUGUGUGGCUGGAAAGUGAUCUUUCAAGAGAGGAUUAACCAAAGGAAAUGGGAAAUUGAGGUCAGGAUGGAUAAGGAAAACAUGGGGCAAACUGGGUGGUCAGAGAAAGACGAGGAUGGCCUCUAGGCUCCAAGAGCACCCCAGAUAAAAGGCUGGAAUAGGGGCAGGAGAGAAGCCCCCCGUACAGAGGGUUAUUCCAGGGCCUGAGGGCAUCCCCUCCACCCCAGAGGAGUGAAGGUGGGAGGAAGUGUUUUCUGCUUAAGCAUUGGGAAUAAACGUGGCUGCCAACAACAGAAAACUUGACUGGCAGGUGUAAAGAAAUAGUGGUUUCUUUGUCUCCCAGAAUAAAAAAUCUGGAAGUGGGCAGGGCUGGCAUCUGUGGGGUUCACUUGGCCUUUCCCCAUGGAAAUAAGACUGCAGCAGUUUCCGUAUCAGGAGUCUUUUCAAAGCAGGAAGAAGGCGGUCUGUCCUAGGCACCCUCCUUCCACACAGGUCCCUUGGCCAGAACAGGUCACGUGGUUUCUCCCAGUUGCAAGGUAGGCCGGGGAAGCACAGGGCAGUUGCCAUGAUCCGUGGCUCACCCUGGCUGACCACUCUGUUAUGCCCCAAACAAAAGCAGUUUCAUUAGUAAGGAAGAAGGGGACAUGAAUAUCGGGAAGCCAGUCAUGCCACACGAGACCCUGGGGAGCAAACAUUUUUCCUUUUGUUGUUGUUGUAGAGCUGAGGUCUCACAAUGUCACCCAGGCUGGUCUCAAACUCCUGGCCUCAAGCGAUCCCCCUGACUCUCAAAAUGCUGAGAUUACAUGCAUGAGCCACCACACCUGGCUGAUAAACAUUUUCAAUAAAGGCUAAAUUCAGGUAAUAUAAUCUCCUGCCCUGCCCACUGCACAGACAAAUCAAUCUCGAAAGCUCAGAGGUAUUUCAAGAAUAGUUUGGUGGCUGGAUGCGGUGGUUCACGCCUGUAAUCCCAGCACUUUGGGAGGCCGAGGCGGGUGGAUCACCUGAGGUCAGGAGUUUGAGACCAGCCUGACCAACGUGAUGAAACCCCGUCUCUACUAAAAAUACAAAAUUAGCUGGAGGUGGUAGCGGUGGUGGGCGCCUGUAAUCCCAGCUACUCAGGAGGGUGACACAGGAGAAUCGCUUGAACCCGGGAGGCGGAGGUUGCAAUGAGCCGAGAUCGUGCACUCCAGCCUCGGUGACAGAGUGAGACUCAGUCUCAAAAAAAAAAAAAAAAAAAGAAUAGUGAAUAGUUUGGUGGACAGGGGCUAUAGGAAACGGGGAAUGUUGGUUGGUUGGGAAUGAAACCAUACGGGUGUGGAACCCGGUCCUCUGUGUGUGUGUGUGUAGACUGCCUCUGUGUGGGGGCCACAGGACCAACUGAGUCAUGAGUCUCAGGUUGAGUGGAGUCAGCCAGUCAGAAAUGCGAAAAGUCUGAAAAGACAUCUCAAAACACCAGUCUUAGGUUUUACAAUGGUGAUGUUAGCUACAGGAACAAUUGGGGAAAUUGAAAAUCUCAUGACCUCCAGAACAAUGGCUGGUUACCCUUUAUGCCUACAUCUCAGCAGAAUCCAGGCUCUUCUCAUAAUCCUGAUCUUGUGUGCUUUCAUUCAUUUUAUAAGGGUGGUUUAGUUUGGGGAAGGGCUAUUAUCAUCCUUGUUUUAAGGUUAAACAAUAAACAAAAUUCCUCUCAAAGUUACCUUGGCCUAAACCCGGCAGGAAUGACCCAGGUUGGAGACUGGAGGUAAGACAGCCAACUAUGUCAAAUUUCUCUUACUGUCAUAAUUUUAUUUUAUUUUAUUUAUUUAUUCAUUUAUUUAUUUUGAGACAGAGUUUUGCUCUUGUUGCCCAGGCUGGAGUGCAAUGGUGCAAUCUCAGCUCACCGCAACCUCUGCCUCUCGGGUUCAAGUGAUUCUCCUGCCUCAGCCUCCCAAGCAGCUGGGAUUACAGGCCCGCGCCACCACACCUGGCUAAUUUUGUAUUUUUAGUAGAGAUGGGGUUUCUCCAUGUUGGUCUCCAGGCUGGUCUCCAACUCCCGACCUCAGGUGAUUUGCCCACCUUGGCCUCCCAAAAUGCUGGGAUUACAGGCAUGAGCCACUGCGCCUGGCCUUUAUUUAUUUAUUUAUUUAUUUAUUUUUAAUUGAAAGAGACAGGGUCUCACUAUGUUACCCAGGCUGGUCUCAAACACCUGGGCUUAAUCAAUCCUCCUGCCUCAGCCUCUCAAAGUGCUGGGAUUACAGGCAUGAGCCACCAUUCAGCCAUUGGUUUCAAUAAUAUUCCAAAGUUGAUCUGAAAGAGCCUCCAGAAAGCUGUGAGGCCCCACAUUGGGAAUGCGACCCAAAACCCCAAGGUCGGGGUCCUGACCCAUUUGUGCGAUCAUCUCAGUCAACAUUAAUUGUCUUGGUCUUCUUAGCAACCUCACGAUGACAGAAAUGCUAUUAUUUCCCUUGCUACAGAUGAAAAAGGAGGGGCUCAGACAAGUUCAGAAACUAGGUCAAUGGCCGGGCGUGGUGGCUCACGUCUGUAAUCCCAGCACUUUGGGAGGCCAAGGCGGGCAGAUCACCUGAGGUCAGGAGAUCGAGACCAGCCUGGCCAACAUGGUGAAACCCCAUCUCUACUAAAAAGACAAAAACUAGCCAGGCAUGGUGGCCUACGCCUGUAACCCCAGCUACUCUGGAGGCUGAGGCAGGAGGAUCACUUGAACCCAGGAGGCAGUGGUUGCAGUGAGCUGAGGUCACACCACUGCACUCCAGCCUGGGCAACAGAGGGAGACUCCAUCUCAAAAAAAAAAAAAAAAGAAAAAGAAAAAAGAAACUAGGCCAAGGUCACACCGGCUGUGAGUGGCAGAGCAAGGGGUGCUGUCCGCAGAAUCCUCUCUUUUCACCACGUCACCCUUUGCAGGAGGAGCACAUAUGGGUCAAGAUGUUACGGGCUCAACCAGCGUGGUGGCUCACACCUGGAAUCCCAGCACUUUGGGAGGCUGAGGCAGGUGGAUCACCUGAGGUCAGGAGUUCAAGACCAGCGUGGCCAACAUGGUGAAACCCUGUCUCUACAAAAAAUACAAAAAUUAGCCGGGCAAUAAUAAUAAUAAUAAUAAUAAUGAAGUGAUGGGCUCUAAUCCAGACCCUCCUCGGGUUUUCAGUCCUAAACUCUUUGGCUACUCCUUACAGGAAGUUGUCCAGUUACACAUCUCUGAUCCUUCCCCAGGAUCAAAACCCAGGAAGGAGGCCUUGAAGCCAGACAGAACCAUGUUCAAAUUCCCACUCUACUACUUGGCAGUGUGUGGCCUUGGGCAAGUUACUUGGCUCUGAGCCUCCUAAGCAGGGGUAACCCCUUUGAGAGGUUGUAGGAUUCAAUGGGAGACCAUGGAUUAGCGCCAAGAAAUAGCAGGUGCUCCAUAAAUAUCCGUGCCUUUCUGGGGAUACAGCCAAGUGGAAACUCAGCCAUGGACGAUACCUGGGCUCCUGGGAGCCAACAUCACUUUAUUUCCCACAUUCUGCUAACAAAAUCCAAUUCGUUAUAAUCAGGGGUCAUCUGUUUUGCUUUCCUUUGCCAAUAAAAAAUUGACUUGGCAUGAAGUCUUCAGUAGUUACUUCAGCUAACAUUUGUUGAACACCGUCCAGGAGCCAGGCACCCUGCUGCUCAGAGGCUGGCCCUGGCCCUCUGGGAGUUCAGAGUCUCACUGCAGAAUGGCACCUGCAGGCAAAGAACUCUAAAACAAGGCAGGGUAGUGAGAGAUGUGAGCCAUACGUUCAAAAUGCUGGGACUUCAGAGACAGCAGAGGCCACCUGGGUGUGGCAUGGGCUUGGCAUGCAGUCCUCUGGGGCUACUGCGGAAGGGGUGUCACCAGGACCAGCUACAGAACUUAUGGGGCCCCUUUUUCAAAAAGUUAUUAAGAAUCUUGGUAAUAGGCCAGGCGCGGCGGCUCACGCCUGUAAUCC